rnacentral:lncRNA from 1 species
AGAAGCCUGUUACCAGAAGCACUGGUUACUUCCCCCGUCCUCUCAGCUCUGGGAAGGGUGGGGUGGUCAUGAAGUCCUGAGAGAGCAGAGGGACACACCAACUUCUCUUGUUGGUUCCCUCAACCCUGCCCAUACCUAUGGGUAAUCAGAGAUGGAUUCAGUCUCCAGUUAGGAUCCUCAUCAAGGUAUUUGUAUGGGGGAUUCCAUGCAGAUGGUGUAUAGAGAGAAGAUAGACACAAGGGAUCUUCAUAGCCAAGGACUGGAUUUGAACAAGUCAGUCUCCAGCUAUGUUUUAGACACUGAGGACUGUGCCCGUCAUCCCUUAGAGCUUCUCUCUGGGCCACUGGCUCGAAGGGCACAUCUCAGGGAAAAAGGUCAGUGUGAUUCCCUUAUUUCUUUGUGGAAAGACCUCAGUAGCCAAAGGUGUUUGCCCGUGUUAUUUGUCUGAACAAGAUCUUCUCUAGGACAGCUAGGUCCACAGGACAGCACCAAGAGUUACUCUGCAUGCUUAUAGUACCUGCUUACGAACAGAAACAGAGGCAAUAUUCACAUGAAAGCUCAAAUGUGGAUCUCUCCUACCAUAGUCACGUCUUCACAAGCUGACAGCCCUCUCAAUUCUGAGAUUUGUUAUUCAGUCUUUUCCCAAUAGGAUCUACAAAGCACCUCUUGACCAUUUAUCAUGCAUGGAACCAACAUGUCAAAUUCCUCAAUAACUGAUUCCCGCCUAGGAUCACACUCAUUGACUAGCUCCGCCAAUUCUUACAAUUCAUUCAGGCUCUGCUACAAGCAUACAGCUUUGCUAGAAGUAGAUUUCUUCUAGGAAAUUUCAUGCUACUGAGAGGUUGUGUGGCAGAGCCAUGUUGCCAUUCUUCCAGCAUGACUUGAUAGCUAAGUUGAACACUAUCCCAAGGAGAUGCCUCCUUGACAACUUACACUGCAAAGUGAAUCAUAACCCUGACCCUGGAGACUGCUAUAACGGGCUCCUGUGAGAGUUCUAUUUGCAGAACCCAGAAUUCACAACGGAACAUCAACAUAUCCAAAAGACAAGUUUCAAUGAACAGAUUCUCAGCAAAAGGACUCUAAGGAUGCAGAGGAAGGGAAGUCACCCAAUCUGGGAAGGAGAUUACUCAGUCUCGGGUAUGUGUAUCAGCAAUGUGAAAACGGACUAGUACAUCUCUAGAGGCACAUGCCAUGUGGUCCAGCCAUAAUUAUUUGUUGUCACAACUAAGUUUCCUUUCUAUAUGAAAAGAUUAUAUUGAUCAGAAUUCUAAA